AACGAACGCUGGCGGCAUGCCUAACACAUGCAAGUCGAACGAGCCCUUCGGGUUUAGUGGCGCACGGGUGCGUAACGCGUGGGAACCUGCCUUUUGGUUCGGAAUAACUCAGAGAAAUUUGAGCUAAUACCGGAUGAUGUCUUCGGACCAAAGAUUUAUCGCCAUUAGAUGGGCCCGCGUUGGAUUAGCUAGUUGGUGGGGUAACGGCCUACCAAGGCGACGAUCCCUAGCUGGUCUGAGAGGAUGAGCAGCCACACUGGGACUGAGACACGGCCCAGACUCCUACGGGAGGCAGCAGUGGGGAAUACUGCACAAUGGGCGAAAGCCUGAAGCAGCCAUGCCGCGUGAGUGAUGAAGGUCUUAGGGUUGUAAAGCUCUUUUACCCGAGAUGAUAAUGACGGUACCGGGAGAAGAAGCCCCGGCUAACUUCGUG
rnacentral:rRNA from 1 species